GUGAAUCAUCAAAUCUUUGAACGCAAAUUGCACUCCCUGGUAUUCCGGGGAGUAUGCCUGUUUGAGGGUCGUUAGAACAAAAAUCGAGGCGUCGCUCUUUUUUUUUAAGGGUGAUCGCCUCGGAAUUGAGCCGUCUUUCAAAUGUUAAAUCAUUUCAAAGGGGCUUGAAAUUCAUCCAUCCGGUAAGAUUAAAGCGUAUUUAAGAUCAACUUUGAUUAAGGACCCGCGAUGGACGGACCCUCUCAUUGAGUA
rnacentral:misc_RNA from 1 species